AAAGCCUUACUCCCGUCCUCAUUUCGAGAUGCAGUCAGAGGAGAGUUUGAGAGAGAGGGCGAUAGAGGCUGAGGGAGAACGAGAAGCUUGAUGGUGAUCGGAGAGGGAGUCGCAUGCAACCUUGAAUCUUGGUUAAGCAAAAGCAGGUACUUCUAAGGACAAUGGAGCUGUGAUUGGAGGAGCUUGAAAGUAAGGGAGGCCGGAGAAUUUAUUAUGUAUUUGGUUAAAUAUGCUUCUUAUAUUUUGCCAUUUUGGAGUGAAGAUACAAAUGUGUGUGUGUGUUCUGAUAUGUAAAUAUUCCUCUAUAAAGUGGUGGCUGAGGGCAGAUAAAUUACAGGUAACUACCAUUGACAGAAAUGGCCUAUUUGCUAUUAUAUAGUUAUUAUUAUGCCCAAGACUGUGUGUAUAAGUAUAUCUAUUCUUUUAAUGGGCCGGUGAUCAGAGUAUUGAAUGUUAAGCCCUGCAAGUUAUAGAUUUACUU